rnacentral:tRNA from 1 species
GGUCCAGUAGCUCAGUUGGAUAGAGCAACAGCCUUCUAAGCUGUGGGUCUUGGGUUCGAAUCCCAACUGGAUCA